rnacentral:lncRNA from 1 species
GAGCCGAGGAGCCGAGAAUUAGGGAGGGAGGGACCGACCAGACGUCACCGACGCUGAACUAGAGUAAUUUACCGUGUCGGGAAGUGGGCGAGCGCUGUUGGAAAAAAGAGGAAAGGUAAAGCCAGAUAACCCCCAGCCGCUUCUCCCUGUGUUCGCGGGCGUCUUUUCCUUUUCGUGGAAUACUCAGGAAGACCAGGGGUGAGACCGCAGCUAGCGCCAUGCUGCUCAGAAACCCCGAAUCCGGGGCACUGUGUGACACAUCGGGCCAAAUACCAGCUGGCCUGUGGGUCAGCAGGAGCCUUUUGGCUGGCAUCCCCCAGGCCACUUCCAGACUUGUCUGGGCAAAGCCAGAACUGACUCUGGGAUUUUGACCCAAACAGCAGGGAAGAAUCUGGACUGCGGGGGAAGACUGUAAGGAAAGCCGGGUAAGAAGAUGCAGCAGGUGAUGGUGUCACAUGAGAGUCCAGGCCCUCCACGCCAGCUGCCUGGGACCCCUGAUGCUGAGCUCCUGCAGGAAAGAGGUUUGGAUCAGUAUUGAGAGGAACUAUAUUCAGUUUCUGCCCUCAUCCUACAUCCAAUUUGGAAAAAAUCAGAAUCUUAAGAAAAGAUCCUACAAAGCAACUUAUUAAAGAAUUGUAUUCCUUAUUAUAUAUACUUAAUGACAUGUACAACUUGACAUGUAUGAUAAAUAACUUACGUAUGUGUCCAUGAAAUGUAUGGUAUCAUUUGGUAACUCCUACCCCACCAGUUUUGCCAACGUGUCCAUGUUGAGCAUAUAUAAUUUUACUUCUGCAGACCUUUUUGGAACCUUGAGAUUUUAAAAGUACAGAAUGAGUCCCUGAGAAACAAGAUAAAACAGCGGCAAAGAAAGAGCAAAGGUUUUGUCGUAAAGCUUUUGGAAAAAUAAAGGAAGAUGGGAAAAUGUGAGGCUGGGCUUU